GGCAAAAUAUGAUCAAUUUAAUCAAAGUUAAAGUGUAAAAUAUUUUCUCAUAGAAUCUUUCAAUAUUUUCGUCAUCAAUGGAAACUCAAAGGGAUGAGGUUAUAUUUAGUACAAAAGAAAUGUGCCAUUAGAAAUAAGAAAUAUACAAUUGCUACAGUGAAGAGCAGUAGAUAUACUUUACUCUUUGAAAAGUUCUUGCUGGUGAAAAUAUAUGAACAUUUAGAAUUCAGAGUUCAGAAUCUAUUUCAAUUAAGUUUAUUCAAUGCAGUAUGCAUUUACGUUUUCCACCAUCAGGAAAUGCUGUGAUUUUAAAUGACAGCAACGAGUUAUCAUUACAAGAGAAAUAGCUGAAUAAGAUAAAGGAAUUCCUAAAGCUUACAACUUUAUCCUAAGUGGAUGAGGUACAAAGCGUGAAAUGUUGAGGGAGGCGACUAAUCAACUACAUUGGCUCCAGUGUUCAGCUUGUACUUAAUUCAUCAACCCUCAAAGGAUUUUGAACUCAGCGCAAACAAACAGAUGAAACACUGCUAAGCAGUUUGUCUAACAUACUAAUCAUUCUGCCAGUUCACUGCCUUUACUAAUAUAGAAAAGUAAAAGUAUAUAUGUAUAUUCCAA